CAGGUGCUGCAUGGCUGUCGUCAGCUCGUGUUGUGAAAUGUUGGGUUAAGUCCCGCAACGAGCGCAACCCUUAUCCUUGUUUGCCAGCGAGUAAUGUCGGGAACUCCAGGGAGACUGCCGGUGAUAAACCGGAGGAAGGUGGGGACGACGUCAAGUCAUCAUGGCCCUUACGAGUAGGGCUACACACGUGCUACAAUGGCGCAUACAGAGGGCGGCCAACUUGCGAAAGUGAGCGAAUCCCAAAAAGUGCGUCGUAGUCCGGAUUGGAGUCUGCAACUCGACUCCAUGAAGUCGGAAUCGCUAGUAAUCGUGGAUCAGAAUGCCACGGUGAAUACGUUCCCGGGCCUUGUACACACCGCCCGUCACACCAUGGGAGUGGGCUGCAAAAGAAGUGGGUAGUUUAACCUUCGGGAGGACGCUCACCACUUUGUGGUUCAUGACUGGGGUGAAGUCGUAACAAGGUAGCGCUAGGGGAACCUGGCG
rnacentral:rRNA from 1 species